UACGAAGGGGGCUAGCGUUGUUCGGAAUUACUGGGCGUAAAGCGCGCGUAGGCGGUGAUCUUUGUCAGAGGUGAAAGCCCGGGGCUCAACUCCGGAAUUGCCUUUGAAACGGGAUCGCUUGAGUCCGAGAGAGGAUGGCGGAAUUCCUAGUGUAGAGGUGAAAUUCGUAGAUAUUAGGAAGAACACCGGUGGCGAAGGCGGCCAUCUGGCUCGGUACUGACGCUCAGGCGCGAAAGCGUGGGGAGCAAACAGG
rnacentral:rRNA from 1 species